AUUAAUUUAACAUUUUACAAUUGCUUGUGAAUUUUAGUUAAACUUAUUGGGUUGGGUUGGGUUGGGUAGGAAGAAUGCAUUUCAGCUUCACAAAUCAAAAUUUUCAACAAUACAUUUUGGUUUCAACAAUACUUAUUGGGUUUUGUUCUGUCGGGAGAAUUGUUCUUUCCUUAUUGUAAUCAGAUAAUUCAGAUAGGAUGCUUUCUUAAAUGAUGCAGCCAGUGAGAAUAAUUGGUCCCCACAUGGUUUCAUCGAUUUUAUUAUGAUUACAAAGAGGGUAUAUAUGCAUGCUACAACACGGUUAGAAAAUAGAAGUGCCUGGGUUGUUGAGUGUUCUUUGAAUAUCCAAGUAACAACAGGAGUUGCGGGAAACUUUUGUUUAGUAGAGCAUCUUCAGAGUCAACACUUGUCAAUCCCUGCUGGAUUGCAAUAUACAUUUCCUGAGAAUCUUCAGCACAAUUUUAAGUCUAUGCCCCAUUGGAUUGCCCCGCAUGGAAAAUCAGAAAAACAAGAUUUGACUAUGUGAGCUAUCUACAUCCUUCUUCCCAAUUGAGAUUAGGUCAUGGUGAGGACUACCAAUUUCAGCUCGCAGUAGAUCAGUGCCCAAAAAGUUGUAUUCAUUACAUUACACCAUCGCAGAGAUUUAUCUUAGAGGAGCUACUAGACAGAAUAUGGACAGGGGAUUGGAGAGGAGGCUUGAUCAAUGGAAAUGGGAUGGCUUUUGCAUUUCCUAAACAUAUUAUGGAUGUUCUGGUUGCCUCAUUAAAGCAGGAGGUGUAUUCAGAAUUUAGGGGGCUCAAGUUGUUCUUUACAAAGGCUUGGGCAAUGCUGCAUUUAAAUAUAUACUUGAUGCAGCGUUAAUGUGCACAGGAGAGAAUCCAUAAAAAUGGCCAUCUAUGUCUUUGGUAAGGCUGAAGAAUGCAGCUUUGUAUGAGGUUAUUGUUUGACUGAGGUGUUUUCCUCGUGUUGUUGUAACUUCUUUACCGUGCAGCUAAUUUUUGCUGCUUUUGUAAUCCAUGUUUUACUUAUUGAAAUAAAAUAACUGCCUUUCUUAUAA